rnacentral:rRNA from 1 species
ACGAACGCUGGCGGCAUGCCUAACACAUGCCCGUCGAACGAGACCUUCGGGUCUAGUGGCGCACGGGUGCGUAACGCGUGGGAACCUGCCUUUAGUUUCGGAAUAACUCAGAGAAAUUUGAGCUAAUACCGGAUGAUGUCUUCGGACCAAAGGUUUAUCGCCUUUAGAUGGGCCCGCGUUGGAUUAGCUAGUUGGUAGGGUAAAGGCCUACCAAGGCGACGAUCCAUAGCUGGUCUGAGAGGAUGAUAAGCCACACUGGGACUGAGACACGGCCCAGACUAGUAGGGGAGGAAGGAGAGGGGAAUAUUGGAAAAUGGGGGAAAGCAAGAAAAAGCAAGGAGGGGGGAGAGAGGAAGGGCGUAGGGUUGAAAAGCUGUUUUAACCGAGAAGAGAAUGACAGUAACGGGAGAAAAAGCACCGGCUAACUACGUG